rnacentral:lncRNA from 1 species
UCAACCCCCGUGCAGACUCGACAGCACCUGAACCCACCUGGAGGGAAGACCAGCGACAUUUUUGGGUCUCCGGUCACUGCCACUUCACGCUUGGCACACCCAAACAAACCCAAGGAUCAUGUUUUCUUAUGUGAAGGAGAAGAACCAAAAUCGGAUCUUAAAGCUGCAAGGAGCAUCCCGGCUGGAGCAGAGCCAGGUGAGAAAGGCAGCGCCAGAAAAGCAGGCCCCGCCAAGGAGCAGGAGCCCAUGCCCACAGUCGACAGCCAUGAGCCCCGGCUGGGGCCGCGGCCUCGCUCUCACAACAAGGUCCUGAACCCACCGGGAGGCAAAUCCAGCAUCUCCUUCUACUAAGAGAAGCCACUGCUCCACCCGGAGCCAGACCAGAAACUCAAGAGAUAGGGUAGCCAUGUUUUCAUUUCCUUUUGCCCAAAUGAGCGGGGUGGGAAGAGGGUUAGUCUUAUGUGAGCCUGGCUGCUCAGCGUCUCCUGGCCGUCAUGACAGCUGCUUGGAGACCCGUGCCUUCCAGAUGGCUGGGAGAUGCCUCUGUGGGGAUGAAAUGGGGCACCCCUGGCCAUCACUCAUGUGUAGUCCAGGUUUGAGAGGAACUGGAAGGGGGGUGAGGGUGGGGAGGUGGGGCAGGGCAUGGUCCUUGGAUCAACAGCCCGCCAGCUGAUUGGAUGUCUAGGAAUGACUGAAAGAAACCAAAACAGCCUGUCCACUGCUGCUGUGGGAUGGAGGAGGCGUAAGCAGAAACACUAACAGUAUAUUGACCUCUUAGCAGAACCGCUUCCAUUCUGGAGAUCACGGCUGCUAAAUCCAGCAUCCCCACUUCAUUUUAC